CUACAUGCACGGGCAGGUGAG
rnacentral:miRNA from 1 species